rnacentral:rRNA from 1 species
UACGUAGGUUGCGAGCGUUGUCCGGAAUUAUUGGGCGUAAAGAGCUUGUAGGCGGUUUGUCGCGUCUGCCGUGAAAAUCCGAGGCUCAACCUCGGACUUGCGGUGGGUACGGGCAGACUAGAGUGUGGUAGGGGAGACUGGAAUUCCUGGUGUAGCGGUGAAAUGCGCAGAUAUCAGGAGGAACACCGAUGGCGAAGGCAGGGCUCUGGGCCACUACUGACGCUGAGAAGCGAAAGCAUGGGGAGCGAACAGG